GAGUUUGAUCCUGGCUCAGAACGAACGCUGGCGGCGUGCUUAACACAUGCAAGUCGAACGUGAUUGAGAGCUUGCUCUCAUGAAAGUGGCGCACGGGUGAGUAACACGUGGAUAAUCUGCCUGAUGAUCUGGGAUAACACUUCGAAAGGGGUGCUAAUACCGGAUAAGCCCACGGGAACUUCGGUUCUUGCGGGAAAAGGUGGGGACCUCUUAGGCCUACUGUCACUGGAUGAGUCCGCGGCCCAUUAGCUAGUUGGUAGGGUAAUGGCCUACCAAGGCUACGAUGGGUAGCUGGUCUGAGAGGAUGAUCAGCCACACUGGAACUGAGACACGGCCCAGACUCCUACGGGAGGCAGCAGUGGGGAAUAUUGGACAAUGGGGGAAACCCUGAUCCAGCGAUGCCGCGUGAAGGAAGAAGGCCUUUGGGUUGUAAACUUCUGUCGAUAGGGACAAAUCUGUUUGGGUGAAUAAUCCAGGCAGAAGAUGGUACCUGUAAAGGAAGCACCGGCUAACCUCGUGCCAGCAGCCGCGGUAAUAC
rnacentral:rRNA from 1 species